AAGAACACUUUGUUUGAACAGCCUUGUGAGUUUUUGCGGGCCAGUGACAUCUAAUGUACAAGCCACCUAAGGACUAUAAAAGAGUGUGAAAUGUUCAACGGAACUGCUGCUUGGGGCUCCUUGCAAAACUAAGAUGCCAGUAUUGUGAAAAGCAGAGAAGGAUUAUUGAACUCGGAAAGAGGAGGCAACACACUCAUAACGCUUCAUUUGGGAGAUAAUUUCUACUUCUGGACCAACUCCAGAGACAGCAGUUCCAAAAAUAUGACAACAAAUACAGUUACACCAUGUUCACCAUUGUACACCAUUGAAUUAAUGUGAGGAUGUAUCAACAUGCUCUCAUGGGUCAGAAUUGAGUCAAAUUAUCCUGAGCUACAGUGAUGCUUCAUUCUGUUUCAGUGGCAAUGGCUCAAGGGUGUCAUUGUGUUUCAGGGGCAAACCCUGGAGGACAGACACGGCUGUCAGACUCUCCUGGCACAGAGAUGUCAAGCGAUGCCAAGGUGAGCCAGCUACACAGCCCUCUGCCUGAAAUGGAGCCACUUUGUCAGCCAGGAGGUCAUGAAGUCUGUCUAUAAUGAAUACCAGAAAAGAGCAGAGCAGGGCAGAUUUAGCUUUUAACAAAGCCACAGUGAUAAGGUUUCUGGCUGUACCAGCUUAAACCCUGAAUCAAAUGAGGACUAACGUCUGGAAAUAAACUUUUUAUUUGACAUUAACUCAAUAAAGCACUGGAUUUGUCAAUUAACUACUUAAUUCCAGAGGUUAAGGAUGAUAAAGGGAAAUCAAAAGAGGUUGAGUGCAUUCAUCUGUUACAAAGAAACACAAGGUGUAAAUAUCUGUUUUCCAGUGGUUAUUUUAAACCACCCAAAUAAGCUGAAUGACUGUUGUUUCUGAUUUCUUCUUAAAUCAAAAGUGUUCUACCUGUGAUGUGAAUGCCACCGGGUAGCAUUUUAUCUUUAGCAAUACAUGAUGUUCUUUUUACUGUUGAGGUACUAUUUGCAAUGUCAUUUCUUUUGUAUCGUAAGCAUAAUUGGAAUCAAAGUCGAGCCUGCUGCAGGUGACAACAAUUUGACGGAGAUGAAGUGCUUCCGAAUUUUAACACCCUUCUCACCUUCCUUACUAACUUAAAUGAUGUCUUGCCAUAUUUAAAGCUUGCGCUAUAUUUAUAAACCAAUGCUUUAUUUAAUCUUUUUUAAAAGACAUAUUAUAACCAAUGCUUGAAUGACAUGUUAGUUGCCAGUCCAGAGACAUGUAAUGUGUACUGGAGAAACACAUUGUUCCCAUUUGUUUGGUGGCUCCAUUGGUUUAGUGGUAAGUUUGACCGAUCUAAUGUUAUGCACUAUUCUAAGCUGUACCUUUUGUGUAUGUAUAAUUAGGAUGAAUUCUACUAAGGGCUUUUAAAGAUAAACGUGCUCUUAACAGUAGUUGUCUUUGUCGAUCAUGGAAAGGGUUUUCCCCAAUGCAGUGACAGGGAGUACAUUUGGUUGUGUCAGAGUGAGUAGUUACUAGGGUAAACUAUAGCAGAAUACACGUAAGGUUUUGCGAAGGCGAUGUGCAUCACAAAGCAAAAACUGUUCCCAGUUUAAGAAAACAGGACUUUUCUUUUUCGAACCCUGAAAUGAUAUGCAAAAACGUGUUAAGGACAUAUGAGAGCUCAUUACAGAAGCAAAAAAAGACAACUGCUCUAAGUUUGAAUUUACCAGCAUUAAAGGAAAUGCAAAGCCAGCUACAGCAAUGCAGAUUGAUCCUAAUUAAAAGUCACACUGGUUACAUCAUUGAUAAAAAGAACGACAGGAAGACUAAUUAGGCUUGUCUGUUGACUUAAUCAAGGCCAGAUUUUUACAGCAACACUAGCAUUGAGAAUUAUCUCCUGUCACAUUUGUGUUUUACAUGUUUACUGAUUAUAUAUGCCUGUUUAUUCAUACAUCAGGGUUAAAAGAGUUAAAUAUAUAAAUCUUGUGUAAAAAUGUAUGUAUAUGAUGUGAAAAUAAAGCAGCAUUAGUU